GCAGUGGGGAAUAUUGCGCAAUGGGCGGAAGCCUGACGCAGCGACGCCGCGUGAGGGAUGAAUGCCUUCGGGUUGUAAACCUCUUUCAGCAGGGAAGAAGCGAAAGUGACGGUACCUGCAGAAGAAGCACCGGCUAACUACGUGCCAGCAGCCGCGGUAAUACGUAGGGUGCAAGCGUUGUCCGGAAUUAUUGGGCGUAAAGAGCUCGUAGGCGGUUUGUCGCGUCUGCUGUGAAAACUCAGGGCUUAACCCUGAGCUUGCAGUGGGUACGGGCAGACUAGAGUGCAGUAGGGGAGACUGGAAUUCCUGGUGUAGCGGUGAAAUGCGCAGAUAUCAGGAGGAACACCGGUGGCGAAGGCGGGUCUCUGGGCUGUAACUGACGCUGAGGAGCGAAAGCGUGGGGAGCGAACAGGAUUAGA
rnacentral:rRNA from 1 species